rnacentral:snRNA from 1 species
AGCUUUGUGCAGUGACAGUAUUGUAGCCACUGAGGUUUAUCCGAGGUGCGAUUAUUGCUAAUUAAAACC